rnacentral:rRNA from 1 species
UACGUAGGUGGCAAGCGUUGUCCGGAAUCAUUGGGCGUAAAGAGCGUGUAGGCGGCCCGAUAAGUCCGCUGUGAAAGUCCAGGGCUCAACCCUGGAAUGCCGGUGGAUACUGUCGGGCUCGAAUCCGGAAGAGGUGAGUGGAAUUCCUGGUGUAGCGGUGAAAUGCGCAGAUAUCAGGAGGAACACCAAUGGCGAAGGCAGCUCACUGGGACGGUAUUGACGCUGAGACGCGAAAGCGUGGGGAGCAAACAGG